rnacentral:lncRNA from 1 species
UGAGUUAGUAAAUUUUAAUUUUCUUAAUACACAUGCACGUUACAAAGAAAUAUAGUUUAAAACUGUCAUCCACUGAUUUUGUAACUUUCCACGCUUUAUGAGUCCAGAGUUCCUCACUUAAACGUGCUCACCUUGCGGUGGUUAGUUUGCUCCAUGUCUUGUGAUCGCCCUUGCUGUUGUAGCGCUCGUUGGCCUUGUCGAUGCUGGUGUUUGGGUGUGACCUCCUCGUAACCGCUUCUCUUGCUCGUGGAAGAUCGUCCUUGUACGGAUGCGAUAUCUUGAGGAAAG